CGUUAGCUCAGUUGGUAGAGCAACUGACUUUUAAUCAGUGGGUCGCAGGUUCGAUCCCUGCAC
rnacentral:tRNA from 1 species